UGCCUUCACCCUCUGAGCACACAGUGUUCUCUCUCCAUCUGGUAACUGCUUCUAACUUGCAGCCCACUCAGCUCUAGAGGAGAACCCUGAUUGCUUUAAGCCAAGCAGCACAUCCCAUUGGCCUUUUCACUGUAAUUAACUCAAGUCAGAAGAUGUGGUUCAGGUGAAUGAUAAAGGAGGAAAUGUCUGCUGGGGGCUUCUGGGGAGAAUGCUUUCUAGCUCAGCGAACUUUAAGGAAAGCGAUUCUCUCUCUCCUUGCUGGACAUUUACACAGAAUAAGAAAGAUCAAGGUGUGAGAAGUCAUUCUGGAACUCUGAAGAAACCCAACCUUAGGGUUAAACAAGAUACCAAGACGACCAAGGAGAAAAAGGAAGAUAAAAUGUUUUUGAUGAUACAACGGAGCCACUUAAGCCUUGUUUCAAAGCUUGGACUAUUUCUUUAUUUUUCAGCUACUCGAGGGUCUAAGUUCCCUUUUUGAAUUAAGCCAGUUUUGACCUAGAUUGUCUCUGACUUGAAACCAAAAGAUUCAUAAUAUUCAUGGGUGACAACUUGGUUCCAUGUUCAUCAUCACAUUCACUUAUUAGUAUUAUUUUUUCAGAACAGCAAGUAUGACAAGGGUCUGAAGGACCAAAGGGGACCAUUGCUUAUCAUAAAGUGUAAGCAGGCAAAAUUUACCUGUCAGAGCCUGAGUAGAGCUGGCUGGCCUGAUUUAGGGCCAUGAUCUCACAGAGUGCUCUCCGGUGUGUCCGACGUUAGUGAACUGCAUCCCAGUCAAUUAUGUGCGCGGUAGUCAUAAAGACUAAUUAUGAAGACACGAUGAGAUCAUUGCACAGCUGAACCACGAGGUAACGGCUACCCUAACAAGUCCAUCAGCUAGCGCCAGCAUGAUCCCACACAGACCCUUCAUGGCUUUCCUAUUUACUACACAUUGUCAGGCAGAUUUCCAAGCAUUCAGAUAGAAGCAAAAUGAAACACAUGUACUCUAUGAGCAUACGGCUUACUGCAAGAAACAGAACCUAUGAGAAACCAGAGGAGAUUUCUGUCAUGGAAAGCAGUGAAUUCCCCCAGAAUUAGGCCACAAUUCAUGGUCUGAAUUAUAAGAGCUGCUUGGGUCUGUCCAAGUCCAAUGUAUGGAUUACCUUGAUCCCCACUGCAACCCAGAAGCUUUCAGUUACCAGGAGCAGGACAACUGUGCUCGGAGAACAGCUUACCUGGUGCUGCUGUCAAAGACAGAACUCAGGGCCUGACAGUUGUUCCACUGAUUCUCAAGGCUCCACGUGGACGGGCAGUCGUCACAUUGAUUCAUUUCUUCGCUGGAAGAGCUAAUAUAAGCUCCAAGACAGCAGGAAAUUUCACCGAUUUUGUUUAUGGCUGUAUCUUUACUGCCUAGAGUGGUACAUGCCAUGUGG